rnacentral:rRNA from 1 species
CCUACGGGAGGCAGCAGUGAGGAAUAUUGGUCAAUGGACGGAAGUCUGAACCAGCCAUGCCGCGUGCAGGAAGACGGCUCUAUGAGUUGUAAACUGCUUUUGUACAAGGGUAAACCUGAAUACGUGUAUUCAGCUGAAAGUACUGUACGAAUAAGGAUCGGCUAACUCCGUGCCAGCAGCCGCGGUAAUACGGAGGAUCCAAGCGUUAUCCGGCUUUAUUGGGUUUAAAGGGUGCGUAGGCGGAUUGAUAAGUUAGAGGGGAAAUGUCCGAGCUUAACUCGGGAACUGCCUCUAAUACAGUUGAUCUAGAGAGUAGAUGCGGUAGGCGGAAUGUAUGGUGUAGCGGUGAAAUGCUUAGAGAUCAUACAGAACACCGAUUGCGAAGGCAGCUUACCAAUCUAUAUCUGACGUUGAGGCACGAAAGCGUGGGGAGCAAACAGGAUUAGAUACCCCUGUAGUC